GAUAAUGAAGUUCAAGUCUGUUCCAGAAACUUUCGUAUGGUCUGCUGAAACACUACCAAGUAUCACAGACGACGCCAAACAUCACCAAAAACAGAUACAAAGGCAUCUACCCAUAUGAUGAUUACAGAGUAAAAGUUUUUGGUGGGGACACGGACUACAUCAACGCCAGCUUCAUCGACGGUUACAAAAAACGACACGAAUACAUUGCUGCAUUAGGUCCGAUGUCUACGCAACUUGGUGACUUAAGUGCUUUCUGGAGAAUGGUUUGGCAACAAAAAGUAGAGAAAAUCGUUAUGGUAACAAAUCUAGUGGAAAAAAGG